AGCAAAACUCUCAAAUAUCAUCCUGGGUGACGAUGUAGAUUAGACCCAUCAGAUGAAAUGAAGAAUUGAAAAACUCUCCUGGGGAUGAAAAUGAACCAGAAUUUUGCCACAGAUAUACAUACGGAGUGCGAGCCACUGUUCAGUGCAUUCCUGCUUGGCUUUAUUUCAUUCAGUGCCUGUGCUGGUACUGUGACACAAGAAGAGCCUUUUCUCAUCCAGUAAAUGCUGCCUGGCAAAUACUCUACGACUUUCUUCAUCGUGACAUUUCCAGCCCUUUACAGCACCCACAAAGAACAAAGUCACUCUGACACCAUGGUGUUCUUUUACCUGUGGUCAUCCUUUGCAUCAUCAGCUCCUGCUAUAUCCUCAUCUGGGAUCUCAAGAUGGACUGGGGUUUCUUUGAUAAGAAUGCAGGAGAUAACAAUUUCCUCUGUCAAGAAAUUUUAUACCCCCAAAAA